rnacentral:rRNA from 1 species
CACCGCGGUUAUACGAAAGACUCAAGCUGACAGACAACGGCGUAAAGCGUGGUUAAGAGUACAACAAACUAAAGCCGAACACCUUCUUAGCUGUUUAACGUAUUUGAAUAUAAGAAGCACAAUUACGAAAGUAGCUUUAAACCCCUGACCCCACGAAAGCUAUGAAA